rnacentral:rRNA from 1 species
AGAGUUUGAUCAUGGCUCAGAAUGAACGCUGGCGGCGUGCUUAACACAUGCAAGUCGAACGAUGAAAUUGCUGCUUGCAGUAAUGGAUUAGUGGCGCACGGGUGAGUAAUAUAUAGGUAACGUGCCUCUUAGUCUGGGAUAGCCAUUGGAAACGAUGAUUAAUACUAGAUACUCCUUCUCUUUAUAAUGAGAGUCGGGAAAGUUUUUCGCUAAGAGAUCGGCCUAUAUCCCAUCAGCUUGUUGGUAGUGUAAGAGACUACCAAGGCUAUGACGGGUAGCGGGUUUGAGAGGAUGAUCCGCCACAUUGGUACUGAGACACGGACCAGACUCCUACGGGAGGCAGCAGUGAGGAAUAUUGCACAAUGGAGGAAACUCUGAUGCAGCAACGCCGCGUGGAGGAUGACGCAUUUCGGUGUGUAAACUCCUUUUAUAUGUCAAGAAAAUGACGGUAGCAUAUGAAUAAGCACCGGCUAACUCCGUGCCAGCAGCCGCGGUAAUACGGAGGGUGCAAGCGUUAUUCGGAAUCACUGGGCGUAAAGGACGCGUAGGCGGGAAGCCAAGUCUGAUGUGAAAUCCUAUGGCUUAACCAUAGAACUGCAUUGGAAACUGGUUACCUAGAGUAUGGGAGGGGGAGAUGGAAUUAGUGGUGUAGGGGUAAAAUCCGUAGAUAUCACUAGGAAUACCGAAAGCGAAGGCGAUCUCCUGGAACAAUACUGACGCUAAGGCGUGAAAGCG